rnacentral:rRNA from 1 species
AUUGAACGCUGGCGGCCGGCCUAACACAUGCAAGUCGGGCGCGCGGCGGACGGGUGCGUAAUGUCUGGGGAUCUGCCUGAUGGAGGGGGCUAACUACUGGAAACGGUAGCUACUACCUCAUACCAUCCGCUGGACCCAUAUGGGAUUAGCUUGUAGGUGGGGGAAAGGCUUACCUAGGCGACGCUCCCUAGCUGGUCUGAGAGGAGGAUAAGAAAAAUUGGGACUGCGAAAGGGCCCAGAGUCCUACGGGAGGAAGCAGUGGGGAAUAUUGCACAAUGGGCGCAAGCCUGAUGCAGCUAUGCCGGGUGUAUGAAGAAGGCCUUCGGGUUGUAAAGUACUUUCAGUCGGGAGGCGUUACCGACAGAAGAAGCACCGGCGAACUCCGUGCCAGCAGCCGCGGUAAUAC